AAUUAAUAGUGGUACACUUGACAAAAUCAAAAUCUAAUCAGGGAGCUAGUCUAAUUAAUGCUACCACAAAACUAUGUCUCCACCAUCCACUUACAUAUUAAUUGCAGCACAUGCAUAACAUUGACCUAGUGUACUUACAAGUAAAAUUAUUUCAAGGGUAUACGUCUAGAGGAAUGAUGCUUUCAGAUAUACCCCGUAAAGUAUAUAAAAUGUGCGACGAUCAAAUUUAAUUUGUUAAAUAUAAUGUGUUCCAUAUAUAUAUAUAUAGAGAGAGAGAGUUGGACUGGGCUACUAUUAGUAGCAAAAUUCUAUUAUUGCUACCAGUUUUUUAGCCUUUGGAUCAACUCUUUUCAUUAUUUCUAACCAUUGGAUUAAAUACUAUAACCCAGUGGGGACCACUCAACCCUAGGGGGACCACUCAAUUCUAACCGACUAAUAUCAUUCCGAUCCUACAAUUUUUCAUCCAAAGGUUAAAAACUUGAUAGUAGAAAGAGUAUUUUACUAUUAAUAGUAUUCAAGCUUAAUUCUAUAUAUAUAUAUAUAUAUAUAAUUGAGCUUCUAUGCUUUUAAAAGUACCAAGUCAUUGGUGCUUGUAAGUUUUUAGCCCUUGGAUUAAUAGAUGUAUGGUUAGGAUGAUGUGGGCCCCCUUAGGUUAAGUGGGUAGUUGGUUGAAUAGUAUAAUCUAACGGAUGAAAAUGAUCAAAGUCAUAGAUCUAACGGUAAAAAAUUCACAAGCACCAAGUGCUUGGUGCUUUUACAAGCACCAUAGCCGGACUCAUAUAUAUAUAUAU
rnacentral:lncRNA from 1 species